GACGAACGCUGGCGGCGUGCCUAAUACAUGCAAGUCGAGCGCAGGAAAUCAUCCGAACCCUUCGGGGGGACGUUGAUGGAAUGAGCGGCGGACGGGUGAGUAACACGUAAAGAACCUGCCCUCAGGUCUGGGAUAACCACGAGAAAUCGGGGCUAAUACCGGAUGGGUCAUCGGACCGCAUGGUCCGAGGAUGAAAGGCGCUUCGGCGUCGCCUGGGGAUGGCUUUGCGGUGCAUUAGCUAGUUGGUGGGGUAAUGGCCCACCAAGGCGACGAGGCAUAGCCGACCUGAGAGGGGGGUCGGCCACACUGGGACUGAGACACGGCCCAGACUCCUACGGGAGGCAGCAGUAGGGAAUCUUCCACAAUGGACGAAAGUCUGAUGGAGCAACGCCGCGUGAACGAUGAAGGCCUUCGGGUCGUAAAGUUCUGUUGUAAGGGAAGAACAAGUGCCGCAGGCAAUGGCGGCACCUUGACGGUACCUUGCGAGAAAGCCACGGCUAACUACGUGCCAGCCGCCGCCGUAAGAC
rnacentral:rRNA from 1 species